AUGUAUACUCUCAUGUGUAACAGAAUCAAUCAAGGAAAUUUGCACAAACACUUUCCAACUUGGUAUCAGUCGCCAGGACCCUCUUCAUGGCCGCGGACGACACCUCCUCCUCCUCCGCCGCCACGAGCUCGGUCACGUCGCCGGGCACCUCCUCGGCGCCAGCCGCCGGCACCUCCCCGGCUACGGCCCCUCCCUUCGUCUUCGGAACAUCUGAUGUCGUGGUUGGAUGUCACAGCUAGAGGCACACUUGGGUACAUCGACCUUGAGUACCUUCACACAGGUCAUCUGAAGCCGGCGAGCGACGUGUACAGCCUCGGCGUGGUUAAGCUUGAGGUUCUGACAGGGAAAAAGGCGUUUUCCCAAGAAAAGGAGGAGAUGAAUAGAGAUCUGGCAUCCUUUGCACUCCCCAUCAUUGAGGCCGAUAAUAUUGAGGAGAUGCUAGAUAGGCGACCUGUACCGGAGCCAACGCCAUGGCACCUGCACGCACUGAAGCGUGUGGCGCAGAUUGCACGAUGCUGCGUGAAGUUUGUCGGGAAGGACCGGCCCGCCAUAUCAGGCAUCGUUGCCAACCUCGAGACGGCAUGCGAGUUGAUCUGCAGAGAUGAGCCAGAUUCAGUUGACAAGUCUGGUUUGUGGCCCUUCCUUGAAAAAGUUGACGACUCACCAGACUCUCCACAUGCCAGGAGCAUGCCUCUGUUCUGA
rnacentral:rRNA from 1 species